rnacentral:sRNA from 1 species
GCCAGAGCAAGAUGGCCGACGCGGCCGCCACAGCUGGGGCCGGUGGCUCCGGAACGAGAUCGGGAAGUAAACAGUCCACUAACCCUGCCGAUAACUAUCACCUGGCCCGGAGGAGAACCCUGCAGGUGGUUGUGAGCUCCUUGCUGACAGAGGCAGGGUUUGAGAGUGCCGAGAAAGCAUCCGUGGAAACGCUGACAGAGAUGCUGCAGAGCUGUGAGUACAUGGAAACACUAGUCCUUGGAGUCAAUCCCAACAUCAGUUCUGUGCCCUGCUUUGUGAUGGUGUUUGAGAGGAUUUAAGAAACAAACUUUUUUCUUAAGAGGGGAGAAAAAAAUUUUUUUUAAUGUAAAAAGUUGAGAAAAGAAAAGAGCAUAAUGGGCCGAGCGCGGUGGCUCGCGCCUGUAAUCCCAGUACUUUAGGAGGCCGAGGCGGGUGGAUCACCUGAAGUCAGGAGUUCAAGACCAGCCUGGCCAACAUGG